AAACAUGUCUUCUUUAAACCCUAUAAAACUAUGCCAAACAAAGGCCCAUGCCACUAAUCUUCAAAGCUAUCAUGUUCUUCAUUUUCCUUCGAUGCUAUGCUUUGAAGUCCUUCAUUCAGCUGAUAUCUGUGAGUUCACAGCAAACCGGUUGUACUGAGGGCUGUUAAACCAUUUGGCAAAGUUGGUAAAAAUGUUUGAAUUAAUGAGCCUCUUCAUUAGGUUGGGAACUUUGCCGCCAUCUUCUAAGCAACUAUCGACUAUCUGCUGCCGUUUCAGGCUAUUCUCAGCUGACAGAACAGGCGACUCUGUUUGUGAGAGAUGCUGAACUAAAAUCAUGUUGGCAUUGCUGCUGCUGCGGCUGCUGUUGAUGAUAGGUUGGUUGAACAUGGGUGAACAGUCUGAACUUGUUCAAAACUUGGCAUAUCAGGGUGUUUUUCGUACAUGGUAACACUGAAAAGAUAUGAAUUCAGCUAGUAUCAAGUUUCAUGGAUGUGUUUUCUGCCCUCCUGCUUGCAUUGUCGCCUAUUAAAAUAUUGUCAACCAAAAAAUUUUCCAAAGUUUCCCCAUCUUCUUUUAUCAGCAGAUGGUGCUCAAUUUGAACAUUAAAGAUAUCAUAGGAUUACACAGAUAGAAAAAAAUAUGACAUUUUCAUUGAUUAAUUCAAGAUCAAAUCACUGUACUUGUAUACAUAUUGUUGUUUUGGUAAAUGUUGUAUACAUAAUGUUCAUAUGUACAACUAGCUAGAAAGAUAAAGAAAUUAAACACAAAAGAAAGAAACUACAUCAUAGGCUGUCCCUGUGGAUAGGAGCUGGACGUGGGCAUGUGGUAUCUGCAGAUGGGGUAGAGAUGGCUCUUAUCCAGCCACUAGGUGAUGCCCCGGCUAUGAAAGAAGUGGGAGCAUGGCACCAUACUGAUCACUUCCGCUCCGGCAUCGAACUCCUCCAGGCACAUCACGCAUUCCUCCUCCCGAACACCUUCUCCUUGACCAUACGACGACCGCCCCAAAAUCUGGACAACAAUAAUACCAAGGAAGAAUAAGAAGAGCCAGCAUUGCUCUGCUGUGAGAGACAACAAUACAGACUAAGGGAAGAGUGACCUAGCUGGUCCAUAAGAACACCAUCAUAGAGGGCAAUCUCUAGACUAGUAAUUUUGAUGCUCUCUAUUCAGAACUAGAUGAUAACAAAAGUGAUGUGCCAUCUUAUAAGUAGAACCUACUUAUUGAUAAGAGGUUUCAGGAUUUCAUUUGCCAGCAGCCCUAUUCUCUUCAGGGUAAGAAAUCUUUUAUGAAUUGAAAAAAUCUAUCGUACUUGUCCCUCUUUCAUAGCAUAUAUUUUCAUGAUUUAGGUGCUUACUUUAUUCCCAUUCUAUUCUUGUUUGGAUUUUUUAAACUUAUAUAGCCGGGUCCUUUAAUUUCUACAAUAUACUUGAUGAAGAAUGUAAUACCAUUUUCUUUAUUGAAACAGUACAUGUAAGUUUUAUCAACCAUUUUCAUAUUAUAUCAGGGUGAAAAAUUCAUCCUGAAAGUUGUCAUCCUUGAGAAAUUGUAUGACUAGACAAGGGACCAAUAAGACACUUAGGUUGGCAUUUCAUUGCAAAGAAAACACCAUGAAUUCAAUUGCCACUUGUGCUCUCUUCAAUCUCAUUCUUAUAGCAAUACCUUGCAAAUAGAAGGCCUACUAAUCUGAUUAAAACUGAAAGAUAUAUGUCGAUUCCUAAAAAGUCAUAUUUGAAUCUAAAAAAACGGAACAAUGUCAUCAGCAAGGUUUGCCGUCUCGGAACCAGACCCGGUACCAGUGCCACACUAGCACGGUGUCGAUACAGUAUGAUACGGAUUUUUUUUGACAUACUGAGUAUUGAUGUGCCAUCCAUACUGGGUACCAAUACCAGAUCGAUAUGGUACGAUAGGCUCCGUGCUGCCUGGUUCCGGCCGUACGACAUUCCACAGUCAUCAGCAUCUCAAUCCAGCCUAUGUUUAGUGGGUUUGGGUUGUAAUGUUUCGCAUGAAAGAAUGAUUCGCCUUCUUUCGCAACAUCAACCGUUGGAUUGCACAACAUCCGCUUUGAGAUCUAUGCUAGUGGAUGAAAGAAAGAGGUUGGGCUGCUUUGAAAUAUGUGCAAAGUGCAAUCCAAUGGUUGAUGUUGCGGAAGAAGAACAUCCAAUCUUUUGCGUAAAACAUACAAUAAGAACCUGUAUUUAGCAAUGAUGUAUGAACUAAUAAUUUCAUCAAUGUUGCAAACCUAGCUUUCCCUCUGGAUAUGAAUACCUGACUAUUGCAAAGAGAAUGUCCAUCUAGUUGGUUAUAACAUCUAGCACCAAACAUUGAAAGGUAACACCAAGGUUAUAUCGAUAACACACUGCUUCAUAGCUUGGAAACUUUGAGCUUGGGAAGCUCAUUCAUAGAUUUGACCAUCUAAUAUGAUCUGAUUAUGGCCUUCCUAAGUUGUAUUUAGUAAUGCUAUAUAAACUUAUAAUUUCAUCAAUGUUGGAAACCUAGCUAUCACUCUAGAUAUGAAUACCUGACUAUUGCAAAAAGAAUGUCCAUCCAGCUGGUUAUAACAUCUAGCACCAAACAUUGAAAGGUAACACUAAGGUUAUGUUGACAACACACUGCUUCAUAGCUUGGAAAAUUUGAGCUUGGGAAGCUCAUUCAUAGAUCUGACCAUCUAAUGUGAUUCGAUUAUGGCCUUCCUACUCUCAACUAAUAACUCGUUUUUAAAAGUAGGAUGCAAAAUUACCAAAACAUGAGUAUAGUUAACGGCAAAUGCAUCUAUGUGUGUCAACUCAGGACACAAAUCAAUCUUUGGUUGGACUUAUGCAUCUUGGCGACAUCAUUCUUGGAUGACAUAAGUUACUUGGAGAGACAAGUUAUCCUCAUUUUCUUACGUUUAAGCAAUGUUAUGUAAAUUGAAUUUGAUUAGAAUAUUCUCCUCGUUUUCUUAUGUUUUAGCAUUGUUAUGUAAAUUGAAUUUGAUUAGAAUAUUCUAUGCUGCCCUUUAAUAGUCAAAGACUACAAGCUAUGGGACAUCAUUCUUAGCUUCUUGAUCGUUUCGAACACUUUGCUCAUUGCAUGAAAGGGCUUUUGUUUCUUCUGAUUAAGUACUUAUUAUUUUGAGGGCAAGGAGAAAACUUUUAUUGAAUUACAAACUAUUGACGCUAAUGAGGAAGCUGAACUCGGUCAAAAAGCCAUAAAGUUAACUUCAAAAAAAUAUUAUCUAAUAAUCCAACUCAUCUAACCUCAUCAAUAGAAUUGACAAACUAGUUGCACGAUUCCGUCUUUUUCUUAUGACAUUUUUCCUAAAAUUACAUAUUAUCACAUUAGUGUGACGUUCUUAGAAAUUUUAGUGAAAACUUUAAUUCUUCUUAUUUGUGCAUCCUCUUUUCUCUUAUACAGAAGCUUAUUAUCAUGGUUUGCUUAAUUCACUAACAUCUUAACAAGUUCUAAUUUUAAGUUUCUGUUUACCAUGUACUUUGUAAGUAUAUUGAUGUUAGUGAAGUGAUAUAUGGAGUUAACUGUUCCACCGGCACACUCGAAUAUUUUUUGGUACGGUCCAAUACCGAGCAGUUUCGUUGGACUUUGUGGCUCAAUUGUGAUGCGUUCUCAUCUUUCUUGUUCGAAUUUAGCUUCGUACACAGUUAAACAAGGUUUGAUGUAUAGUUAAUGUAGCCCAGCACAUAGUUAAGUCACCCUGGCACAUAAUUAAAUUACCUUGGCACACACGAACCAUAACCUGGCACACAAUUAUUAGAGCUUGCUACGGAGUUACCCUGGCACACAACAGUGUUAACCUGGCACACAAUAUGGGUUUAGAUGAAUAUAUGUCUUUCUUACUGGAAUAAGCCGGCACAGGAAUGUUAACCUGGCAAUUUUAUUAUGAUAACAUAGCACAUAGUUAUCUAGGAUUGUAGCAGGAUGAAUAUAAGUCACCCUGGCACACACAAACGAUAACAUGGCACACAAUUAUUUGAGCUUGGUACACAGUUACCCUGGCGCAUAGCAAUGUUAACCUGGCACACGAUAUGGUUCUAGAUGAAUAUAUGCCUUCCUUGCAAGAUUGAGCCUGCACAGGAAUGUUAACUUGGCAGUUUUAUUACGAUAACCUGGCACACAAUUAUCUUGGAUUGAAGCAAGAUUAAUAUAAGUCAGGUAGAAUGUGGCCACGAGCAUGCAAACCUUCAGGGAUCAUAAAUCUUCAUGAUGUGGAUAUAUUGUCUAGAGAUGUUCUUGUCCAUAUCGUUGGUGUAUGCUUAAGAAGAAUGCAUUGGCUUUGUAGCAAAUUCCUUAUAUAGGUGUUCAAAUUGGUUAAACAAUUACUAAACUUUCAAGAAGCAAUGGAAAAGGAAUGGAAAAGGGCUGCCAAUAUGCAAACAGCACGAACUGAUUUUGCAUGUGCAGUUAUUUCUAACAAGGUCUAUGUGGCUGGGGGAGGCAAUUCAAGUUGUACUGAAGGGCUUUCUUCUGUUGAAGUUUAUGAUCCUUGUGCAGAUAGGUGGGAAGAUUUACCACCAAUGCCUUUCGCGCUAAUUGAAUGCUUCAGUAUAUCGUAUGGAGGUCAAUUUCAUGUUCUUGGCAAGAGAGAGUAUAACAUUCAACAAGAUACAUACUUAUCUUCAAUCCAGUGAACCAACAUUGGUGCAUCAUGGAAGAUCUGCAGCUGUUUUGUAAGUUGACACAUAAUUAUACAACUAUACAAAACGGCAACAUCUACACUAUUCUGGAAGAAGGGAGCAUCAAAAAAGUGGACAUGGAUCAAAAGGUCUGGUGUACAUUGGGUGAAUUUCCUGCAGUGGUCCUUCCAAAACACUUGAGAUCAUUGAAGCCUUUUACCUUUGGAUUUGUUGCAUUCCAGCAGUAAUUAUAUGUCAUUGGGGGCAUGACUCUUAGGUAUAACUUAGAUACCCUUUCAUAUGGCAUUGUGAAGCUGAACUCGAAUAGGUUUUGUGAUCUGAGGAAAUUGCCACUAGAAUGGAAGGAUGCUAGACCCAUGCCAAUAAGAAGUGGUCGCAUAUUAGGAUGUGCUGUUAUGGAAGAAUAAUUUAACCCUUUUCUAUAUAUUUUGUGUCUGAAACUUCUUUCUUUUUGGAUAAAGAAAGGUCUCAACAGUCUAAUAGCUGUUCAUUAAAACAUGGUAUCUUUAUGGGGAAAAACAGAUACAGAUUUGGUUCCCAUCAUUAGGGUUUCGGUGGUAUUAGAAUAUGUGCCUUAUGGAAUUCAUAUGAUUUGCUUUUUCUUGGUUCUCACUUGGUUCAAAUCUUGUAAUGGCAUCAUGUAAGUGGAUCAUGUUGCAUUGUACCAUUAUAUCCUCAACGUGCAGAUUGUCUGUUGCCC